rnacentral:rRNA from 1 species
AGAUGGCGACCGGCGCACGGGUGGGUAACACGUAUCCAACCUGCCGAUAACUCGGGGAUAGCCUUUCGAAAGAAAGAUUAAUACCCGAUGGUAUAAUCAGACCGCAUGGUUUGAUUAUUAAAGAAUUUCGGUUAUCGAUGGGGAUGCGUUCCAUUAGGCAGUUGGUGAGGUAACGGCUCACCAAACCUUCGAUGGAUAGGGGUUCUGAGAGGAAGGUCCCCCACAUUGGAACUGAGACACGGUCCAA